rnacentral:rRNA from 1 species
ACUAACCCUCUUCCCAAAAUACAAGACACAACGUCAAACAUAGUUUCCGGGAAUGAGUUCCAAGCCUGAACCCCAACUCUCAAAGAUCUGAAGUUCUUUAUCUGUGUGCUGCCGUGAAGGUAUUUUGUAGAUGUAAUUACUGUUCAUUAUCAGUAGACUUUAAAUAAGUUAUCCUAGAUAAUAUGGCCAAGCCCAAUUCAAUUAGUUGAAGGGCUUUCAGAGCAGAACCGAGGUUACUGGGAAGAAAUUAUGCCUGUGGAUUGCAACUUCAGCUCAUGCCUGAGAGUUCCAGACUCCUUCUCCUGACACACUGCUCUACAGAUUUCAGACUUGUCUUCUAGCCAGCCCCCACAAUUGUGUAAGUCAAUUCCUUGCAAAAAAAAAAAAAUCCUUAAUCUAUAUCUCUGACUGGUUCUGUUUCUCUCACUGAGUCUUGGUAUAGUGAUUGAGCCUGAAUAUUUCCAAAUAGUAUUAUGUGUAAUUCAGACUUCACAUUUUAACAAUAGCAAAUAAAAAUAUUUUUGUGUAUAUAUAGCAGUGACAGAUUUUAUUUUCUUGGGUUCCAAAGUCACUGCUGAUGGUGACUGCAGCCAUGAAAUUAAAAGAUGCUUGCUGGUUGGAAGGAAAGCUAUUAACAAACCUAGGAAGCAUGUUAAAAAGCAGAGACACCACUUUGCCAACAAAGCUCCAUAUAGUCAAAGCUAUGGUUUUUCCAGUAGUCAGCACAGAUGUGCGAGUUGGGCCAUAAAGAAGGCUGAGCUCAAGAACUGAUGCUUUCGAACUGUGGUGCUGGAGAAUACUCUUGACAGUCACUUAGACUACAAGGAGAUCAAACUAGUCAAUCCUAAAGGAAAUCAACCUUGAAGACUCAUUUGAAGGACUGAUGCUGAAGCUGAAGCUCCUAUACUUUGACCACCUGAUGCAAAGAGCCAACUCACUGCAAAAGAUCCUGAUGCUGGUAAAGAUUGAAGGCAAAAGAAGGAGGCAGCAGAGCAUGAGAUGGUUAGUUAGCAUCACCAGCUAAACGGACAUGAAUCUGAGCAAACUCCAGGAGAUAGUGGAGGACAGAGGAGCCUGGCAUGCUGCAAUCCAUGGGGCCACAAAGAGUUGGACAUGACUUAGUGACUAAAUAACAACAGGAGUGAGAGUAUGUGUGGAGUGUAUAUAUAUAUAUGUGUGCUCUUCUGACUAGGAUUGUCUUCAGCCCCAUGUCCUUCCUUGCAGUGUUCAAGAAUCCUAUAGCAAGAAAGGCAGUUAAACCAGAAUCACCCUCUCUCAGUAUCUGAUUGAGUGCCUCAUCCUUCAUUAUCCCCCAGGUGAUAUCCGAUUAUACCUACCAACUUUUAGUAAGAACUGUUGAGUAAUGUAGCAAUAAUCCCCCAACCCUGAUAUUUCCUCAUAGUAAACCUCCACCCACUGCCCCCCUAUCCCCUGGGUAUAAAUUCCUGCUUUCCCUGUUGGACUCAGAAUUGACUCUAAUCUCUCUCCCUUUUUACAGAACCCUACCACAGUACCCACCUCAAAGAAAGUCUGCCUUACCGUCUUAAAAAGUGUCAUGAAUAAUUUUUUUCUUUAACACUUCCGACUUUUUUGAUCAUGUAUUUCUCAAUAAUUUUUUUUUACCACUCAUACAUAUGUAAACAUAUACAUAUUUGUGGUUGGGUUUCAAAGUUUAUCCUGCUAUAUCAUGUUCACAAUUUUAAAAAAUACAUAGAUAUAUAUAUAUAUAUACACACACACAUGAAGAAAAGUGUUAUGAGAUUCCCACUGUCCCUACCUACUAUGCAGCAAAACUACAGCCAUGGGAAUGGGCUUGGCCUUAUCAGCAUAGAGAGAAAACCCUGUUGAGACUGAUCCUAGUCUGGCAUGGUGAAGAGAAAUGCGAGGUGUAGAGUAAGUGGGAGGCCCCCCGCGCCCCACCACCCGUCCCUGCGAGGGGGCGGGGUGGGGUGCACCGCCUUUGCAGGCCACCAGUGAAAUAUUCUGAUCGUUUUUUCCACUGACUGAGUGAGGUGCGGGUGGAGGUGGGGGGUGUGUGGCAGUGGCAAGCCCUAAGGGGCUCUCAUUUCUAGCACCACGUGCCCCGCCAGGGACAGUGCCAGGUGGGGAGUUUGACUGGGGCUGUACACCUGCAAAUGGUGUCCUAAGGCAAGCUCAGGGAGGACAGAAACCUCCCCUGGAGCAGAAGGGCAAAAGCUUGCUUGAUCUUGAUUUUCGGUAUGAAUACAGACCAUGAAAGUGGGUCCUCACGAUCUUUCUGACCUUUGGGGUUUUAAGCAGGAGGUGUUACCACAGGGAUAAUUGGCUUGUGGUGGACAAGCGUUCAUAGUGAGGUUGCUUUUUGAUCCUUUGAUGUCAGCUCUUUCUAUCAUUUUGAAGCAGAAUUCACCAAGUGUUGGGGUGUUCACCCACUAAUUGGGAACGUAAGCUGGGACUAGACUGUCUUGAGACAGAUUAGUUUUACUCUACUGAUGAUGUGUUGUUGCCAUGGUAAUCCUGCUCAGAAGGAGAGGAACUGCAGGUUCAGACAUUUGGUGUAUGUGCUUGGCUGAGGAGUCAAUGGGUCAAAGCUACCAUCUGUAGGAUUAUGACUGAAUGCCUCCAAGUCAGAAUCCCACCCAGGAAGAAUGACAUGGCAGCGCUGGGAAUCCUCGGUUGGCCUCGGAUAGCCAGUUCCCCGCCAUCGCUGCCGGUGGCCUGUCGCCUGCAUCCCUCCGUGUGCGGCAUGGCGUGCCCCGCUGCAUGUUGGGACCAGGUCACGCAUUAGGACUGGGUCUGGUGCAGAAAGCCUUUCGUCCUAAGACACAGGGCAUAGCCAGAAAGGCAGCCACCCCCUCGCCCAACCACCGCAGGU